AAUACUUUUCUUUCUUCUCCCCUCCAAACCGAAUGUAUCGCUCAAACCAUAUCGAAAGUUGAUCUCUUUCUGGAAAAAAAGAAAGACGAAACCCACAUAAUCUUAUGUUCCUCUGUUCAUCUCGGUUCGGUCUCGAAUAGGUUAUGGGAGAUAAAGUCGACGACUUUAGGGUUUGCGUCGCUGGAAUCCAAAGAUUGGGUUGAAUCAACGUUAACGAGAACAUCGAAUUCGGAGAAGAGUCCGAUAAAGAUCUGUCCAGAUUCGAUUGACUUCCUCAGAUUCUCGUUUUCGAUCUCGAUUGAAGUUUCACCACCACACUCCUUUUGACAUUGUAUGCUGGCUCGCAGUUGACUAAAUACUCUUUGUUCUCACCAUCGCGUAUGAAUCUCGUUUGCUCUUGUGCUUUUGUUUUGGGAAUCAAGGAUCACUGUCUGUCUCUUCGGGAUUGAAACUGUCCAUUUGAUGCUCAUUUGACAAGGCUCUAGAGAGUGUAGAUGAAGCUCUUGUGACCUUCUGUGGUUGGUCCUUUCGGUCAUCUUGUUGCUUGAGUGAUGCCUGUGAAGUUGCAGUCUUUCUUUCAUGUCUGAGAUACAUUGAAAGUUUAACUAUGAGCUGUGUAGAGUUAGCAAAGACCAGAGGAAGAGAGAUGUACAUCGUCUUGCCUCCAAUCACUUUGUUUAAGAUCCUACUUUGUAUUAGUUCAUCAAACUAUGGCAGGGGCGGACUCAAGUACAGUAUGGGUGUGGCACGUGCCACAUACUGAUAUUAUAUAUGCUUUGUGUAAGAAAUAUAUAGAUGCAAGUGUGUAGCUUAUUUGGCUCUAAAGGUUUAUUUGUGCUCCACCCACUCAUUGUUCGAACCAUGAGCUAUAUGGAUUUUGUCAUUUCAUUUUA